GCGACCCCAGGUCAGGCGGGAUGACCCGUUGAGUUUAAGCAUAUAAAUAAGCAGAGGAAAAGAAACUUACAAGGAUUUCCUUAGUUAUGGCAAGCGAACCGAGAACAGCCCAGCCUUAAAAUCGGGCGGCUCCGUCGUCCGAAUUGUAGUCUGGAGAAGCGUCCUCAGCGACGGACCGGGCCCAAGUCCCCUGGAAGGGGGCGCCAGAGAAGGUGAGAGCCCCAUUGUGCCAGGACCCUAUCGCACCACGAGGCACUGUCUACGAGUUAGGUUGUUUGGGAAUGCAGCCUAAAUCGGACGGUGAAUUCCGUCCAAGGCUAAAUACGGGUGAUAGACCAAUAGCGAAUAAGUACCGCGAGGGAAAGAUGAAAAGGACUUUGAAGAGAGAGUCAAAGAGAGCUUGAAAUUAUCGGGAGGGAAGCGAAUGGGGGCUGGCGAUGCGCCCCGGUCGGAUAUCGAACGGCGAUGAGCCGGUCCGCCGAUCGACUCGGGGCGUGGACCAGCAUGGAUUGGGGGCAGCCAAAGUUGGGGCUCUCGAUAUGCUCGUGGAACGCCAUCUGCUCGAUUGUGGCAGGCAUUGUGCGCCUCCAGCUUGCUUCGGUAUCUGCACGCUCCGGCCGCUGGCCUGUGGGCUCCCCAUUCGACCCGUCUUGAAACACAGACCAAGGAGUCUGACAUGUGUGCGAGUUAACGGGCGAGUAAACCCGUAAGGCGUAAGGAAGCUGAUUGGUGGUAUACCCCCAAGGGGUGCACUGCCAAUCGACCUUGAUCUUCUGAUAAGGGUUCGAGUGUGAGCAUAUCUGUCAGGACCCGAAAAAUAGUGAACUAUGCCUGAGCGGGGCGAAGCCAGAGAAAACUCUGGUGGAGGACCGCAGCGAUACUGAAGUGCAAAUCAUUCGUCUGACUUGGGUGUAGGGGCAAAAGAAUAAUCAAACCGUCUAGUAGUUGGUUCCCUCAGAAGUCUCCCUCAGGAUAGCUGGAGCUCGCAUGCGAGUUCGAUCGGGUAAAACCAAUGAUUAGCGGCCUCGGGGGUACAAUGCUCUCGAUCUAUUCUCAAACUUUAAAUAGGUAGGACGGCGCGGCUGCUUUGUUGAGCCUCGCCACGCAAUCAAGAGCUCCAAGUGGGCCAUUUUUGGUAAGCAAAACUGGCAAUGCGGUAUGAACCGGAUCCGGGUUACGGUGCCAAACUAUGCGCUAACCUAGAUCCCACGAAGGGUAUUGGUCGAUUAAGAUAGCAGGACGGUGGUCAUGGAAGUCGAAAUACGCUAAGGAGUGUGUAACAACUUACCUGCUGGAUAAACUAGCCCUGAAAAUGAAUGGCGCUUAAGCGCGCAACCUACACCCAGCCGUUGGGGCUAGUUCCAGGCCCCGAUGAGUAGGAGGGCAUCGCGGUCACUGCAAAACCUUGGGUGCGAGCUCGGGUGGAGUGGCCGUCAGUGCAGAUAUUGGUGGUAGUAGCAAAUAUUCAAAUGAGAACUUCGAAGGUCGAAGAGGGAAAAAGUUCCAUGUGAACGGUACUUGCACAUGGGUUAGUCGAUCGUAAGGGUCAGGGAAACCCCGACAGAUAGUGCGUUUCGCGCGUACUCCGAAAGGGAAUUGGGUUAAAAUUCCUGAAUCGGGAUGUGGCGGUCGACGACAACGUUAGGAAGUCUAGAGACGUCGGCGAGAGCCUCGAAAAGAGUUAUCUUUUUUGUUUAACAGCAUGCCUACCCUGGAAUCAGCUCAGCCGGAGGUAGGGUCCAGCGGCUGAAAGAGCACCGCACGUCGCGUGGUAUCCGGUGCGCUACCGACGACCCUUGAAAAUCUAGAGGACCGAAUGUCGUCCACGCCUGGUCGUACUCAUAACCGCAUCAGGUCUCCAAGGUGAACAAUCUCUGGUCGAUGAAACAAUGUAGGCAAGGAAAGUCGAUAAAAUGGAUCCGUAACUUCUGGAAAAAGAUUGGCUCUGAGGGAUGGGCACGGGGUCCCAGUCCCAAACCCGUCGGCUGUUGGUGGACUGCUCGAUCUUCUCCCGCGGUAAGAGCGGGUCCCCGCGUGUCGGUUGGGGGACAGACUGGGAAUGGUUCUUUCGGGGGCCUUUCCCGCGCGUCGAACAGACAACUCAAAACUGGUACGGACAAGGGAAAUCUAACUAUUUAAUUAAAACAAAGCAUUUCGAUGGUCCCAACGGNGCGUGCCGGCCGGGGGACGGACUGGGAACGGUUCCUUCGGGGGCCUUCCCCGCGCGUCGAACAGCCAACUCAGAACUGGUACGGACAAGGGGAAUCCGACUGUUUAAUUAAAACAAAGCAUUGCGAUGGUCCCAACGGAUGUUCACGCAAUGUGAUUUCUGCCCAGUGCUCUGAAUGUCAAAGUGAAGAAAUUCAACCAAGCGCGGGUAAACGGCGGGAGUAACUAUGACUCUCUUAAGGUAGCCAAAUGCCUCGUCAUCUAAUUAGUGAUGCGCAUGAAUGGAUUACUGAGAUUCCUACUGUCCCUGUCUACUAUCCAGCGAAACCACAGCCAAGGGAAUGGGCUUGGCAGAAUCAGCGGGAAAAGAAGACUCUGCUGAGCUUAACUCUACUCCGACUUUGUGAAAUGACUUGAGAGGUGUAGUAUAAGUGGGAGCCAAAAAGCGAAAGUGAAAUGCCACUACUUUUAACGUUAUUUUACUUAUUCCGUGAAUCGAAAGCGGGGAACUGCCCCUCUUUUUGUACCCAAGGCUCGCUCUACGGGCCGAUCCAGGUGAAAGGCAUUGUCAGGUGGGGAGUUUGGCUGGGGUGGCACAUCUGUUAAAAGAUAAUACUGGUUGCCUAAGAUGAGCUCAACGUGAAUAAAAAUAUCAUGUGGAAUAUAUGGGUAAAAACUCAUUUGAUUCUGACUACCAGUACGAAUACGAACCAUGAAAGCGUGGCCUAACAAUCUUUUAGACCUUCGAAAUUCAAAGCUAGAGGUGUCAGAAAAGUUACCACAGGGAUAACUGGCUUGUGGCAGCCAAUCGUUCAUAGCGACGUUGCUUUUUUAUUCUUCGAUGUCGGCUUUUCCUAUCAUUGUGAAGCAUAAUUCACCAAGUGUUGGACUGUUCACCCACCAAUAGGGAACAUGAGCUGGGUUUAGACCGUCAUAAGACAAGUUAGUUUUACCCUACUGAUGACAGUGUCACAGUAGUAAUUCAACUUAGUACGAGAGGAAUUGUUGAUUCACACAAUUGGUCAUUGCGCUUGGUUGAAAAGCCAGUGGCGCAAAGCUAAACCAAGGCACCGUGGCACCGAAGCACGAUGGCAUCGUGGCACCGUGCACCAAGGCACCGUGGCACCAAGACACCAUGGCACCGGGCAGCAAGGCACCAUGGCACCAUGGCACGAAGGCACCGUGGCACCAUGGCACGAAGGCACCGUG
rnacentral:rRNA from 1 species